UAUUUUACCAGUAUAAGAAUUAUAGUUAACUAAACCUAAAACAAACAAACAAUAAAUAAAUAAAUAAAUAAAAUAAAAUCUUCAUUACUUAAAAUAAAUGUUAAAUGAAAUAAAAUAUAUUUAAAAAGUAAACUUUUUUUCCAUCUAGUUUCCAAGCUUUAGCUUAACUUGAUGUACUAAAAUAAAACACUCCCAUUGUGCAGCUCUUCUAUCAGGAGUCGAGUCAAAAUUGAGCUUGCGCGUAUAUAAUGUGCACGGCCGGUGUGCGAUACCUGUGAGUUGUCAGAGACGCGACAUCUUGGAUGACAUGGGGGUGAGUAAAUUAUCAGCAAAAGUUUAUUUAAAAGUGCACUGUAAACGAUUUCUGUUGUUUUCACAGUAUUAUUGCUGUAUUAUCAGAGAAAGCUUACUGUAGAAACAGUUUACAGUAAGUUGCUGUCAAUUUUAUAACUUUUGCAGUAUUAUUGCUGUAUUUCCAUCUUUGUCUUACUGUAGAAACUAUUUACAGGACAGUUGCUGUCAAUUCAUGCGAUUCUUUGAAAAAAACAAUAGAGUGGGAAAAUAAUUACAGUAAUCCUUAUAUUACUGUUAAAUUGAUGACAGUAAUAAUCCAACAGACAAGGAAUUUUAUUUAUUAAUUAUAUAUUUAUUUAUAAGGAAUUUUAUAAUACAUCGUUUCAUAAGGUAACCCAUAUAUUAAGGCAUUUAGCAUAUAGUUUAAUGUUUUAUGUGGGUGUUUUUUAAUUGCGUAUCUUUAUGGUUGCCAGAUUUUGACACAAAACCAACCAAUCUCAUAGGUUAUAGCCAACAAUUUUGUGGCUGGGAGGUAGUUGUAGAGAUGUAGAUGUCAAUAAUAUAGGCUAGGUAAAUAGAUAAAAUCAAUUCCCAUGAUAUUUUUUUUAUUAUUAUUAUUUUGCUUUCUAUUAAACACACUAAUUACAUAAAGAGCGGAAUCGCACGGGAUAUACCUGGCAACCAAUCAUCUAAACCGUCAGCCCGCACUCAUUUUCCAAUUCAUUUUCUGAGCCUUUGAGGAUGAGCAAGACCAACAAGAACCAGUCAGGUGAGAUAUACAAUUUUAUUCAAUAUCUUAAAGAUGUGUAUUUGUAAAAGUUUCACCCCAAAUGGGAAGAUUUACCACUAACGUUAACCUUAAAUAAUCAGUGGUGAGAUAGUAGUUUGUAACACAAACAUUCUAACGUUAACGUUAGACAGUUAACUUUAGCCAAAUACUAAUUAUCACAAGGUUUGCUGUUAAUGUUAGUUAAUAAUUUCAAGUUUAGAACAAAGUAAUCGAAAUGUUCUUGUUUCUGAACAUUUGUGUGUAACUUACACCGUGUGCGUGUGUCCUGUUGCGAUCGAGGCCUUACGUGCCUAAGCCUAAAGCUAUGUUCGAAAUCGACCUAUUACACUAAUGUUAUGCACGACUUGAAGGGACAACCACAGUGUUUUCAGUCAUAUUAUACAUUUAUUACGUGAGUACAACCGAUGUAAGUUACACUUAAAGUGAAUACACAGGCAGUGAAAGUCGCGCCGAAUUAAUUCCCGUGUCUCGUUAGUCCUUCUUCAGACCAGACGUUCACAGGAUUUUGCUCACUCGUUUUCAUUAACUUCUUCAAGUGCACUAGUUUAUUAAUAUCUGGAUACAGCCACUGCCAACGGACUGCGGAUAAUUUAGUUGUAUAUUUGAUAUUGUUUGAUAUUCACGAUAAUGGCUAUUAUAAUCCCCGUUUUUUGUCACUUUGGGUGCUUCUCAUUUCUUCAUUCAUAAAGGGGAUGCAUUGUGAAACGAAUAUCUCUGUGUAGGUCUAUGCAGUGUUGAAUAUGUUUUUCAUUUCUUUCAGUGUGCAUGUUGUUCGACAUUGCAGCGUGCUGAUGAGUUAAUAAAGAGUGUGUAUGUUGUUCGACAUUGCAGCGUGCUGAUGAGUAUCGCUCUUUCGGUUAAUAAAGAGGCAGCAAAAACCUGGGAUCUGCAUUGGCCCUGUCAAGUCUGGAGAGUGUUUUUACAGUUUAAUGAAUUAAAUUGUAAUAAAAGUUUUUAAAUG